ensembl:lncRNA
UUAUAAACAGAGUAGAAGAAGAAGAAGAGGAUAUUAUUAUAAACAGAGUAGAAGAAGAAGAAGAGGAUAUUAUUAUAAACAGAGUAGAUAAAGAAGAAGAUAUUAUUAUAAACAGAGUAGAAGAAGAGGAUAUUAUUAUAAACAGAGUAGAUAAAGAAGAAGAGGAUAUUAUUAUAAACAGAGUAGAUAAAGAAGAAGAUAUUAUUAUUAUAAACAUAGAAGAAGAAGAAGAGGAUAUUAUUAUAAACAGAGAAGAAGAGAAGAAGAAGAGGAUAUUAUUAUAAACAGAGUAGAAGAAGAGGAUAUUAUUAUAAACAGAGUAGAAGAAGAAGAGGAUAUUAUUAUAAACAGAGUAGAAGAAGAAGAAGAGGAUAUUAUUAUAAACAGAGUAGAAGAAGAAGAGGAUAUUAUUAUAAACAGAGUAGAAGAAGAGGAUAUUAUUAUAAACAGAGUAGAAGAAGAAGAGGAUAUUAUUAUUAUUAUAAACAGAGUAGAUGAAGAAGAAGAGGAUAUUAUUAUAAACAGAGUAGAAGAAGAGGAUAUUAUUAUAAACAGAGUAGAAGAAGAGGAUAUUAUUAUAAACAGAGUAGAAGAAGAAGAGGAUAUUAUUAUAAACAGAGUAGAAGAAGAAGAGGAUAUUAUUAUAAACAGAGUAGAAGAAGAAGAGGAGAUUAUUAUAAACAGAGUAGAAGAAGAAGAGGAUAUUAUUAUAAACAGAGUAGAAGAAGAGGAUAUUAUUAUAAACAGAGUAGAAGAAGAAGAGGAUAUUAUUAUAAACAGAGUAGAAGAAGAAGAAGAGGAUAUUAUUAUAAACAGAGUAGAAGAAGAAGAAGAGGAUAUUAUUAUAAACAGAGUAGAAGAAGAAGAGGAUAUUAUUAUAAACAGAGUAGAAGAAGAAGAGGAUAUUAUUAUAAACAGAGUAGAUAAAGAAGAAGAGGAUAUUAUUAUAAACAGAGUAGAAGAAGAAGAAGAGGAUAUUAUUAUAAACAGAGUAGAAGAAGAAGAAGAGGAUAUUAUUAUAAACAGAGUAGAUAAAGAAGAAGAUAUUAUUAUAAACAGAGUAGAUGAAGAAGAGGAUAUUAUUAUAAACAGAGUAGAAGA